rnacentral:rRNA from 1 species
UACGUAGGGUGCAAGCGUUGUCCGGAAUUAUUGGGCGUAAAGAGCUCGUAGGCGGUUCGUCGCGUCGGCUGUGAAAUCCCGAGGCUCAACCUCGGGUCUGCAGUCGAUACGGGCGGACUGGAGUUCGGCAGGGGAGACUGGAAUUCCUGGUGUAGCGGUGAAAUGCGCAGAUAUCAGGAGGAACACCAAUGGCGAAGGCAGCUCGCUGGAACGGUACUGACGCUGAGGCGCGAAAGCGUGGGGAGCGAACAGG